UAAGCCAUGCAUGUCUAAGUUCACACCCUUGUACGGUGAAACCGCGAAUGGCUCAUUAAAUCAGUCGAGGUUCCUUAGAUGAUCCAUUUCUACUUGGAUAACUGUGGUAAUUCUAGAGCUAAUACAUGCGGACCAGCUCCGACCCGGUGUCAAAGCCGGGAAAGAGCGCUUUUAUUAGUUCAAAACCAGUCGGGGUUUGGGUUCCGGCCCGCCUCGUCCCUUUGGUGACUCUGGAUAACUUUGUGCCGAUCGCAUGGCCUCGAGCCGGCGACGCAUCUUUCAAAUGUCUGCCCUAUCAAAUGACGAUGGUACGUGAUAGGCCUACCAUGUUGACUACGGGUAGCGGGGA
rnacentral:rRNA from 1 species